UUCUUCUUUUUUUUUUUUUUUGGUCUCAAUCGUGGGGACAUCAUUGGGAAUGGAGGGAAAUCAGUGACUGUAUGGUCGUUGCUUUUUAAGUUUCCAACUGGCGUUCCAGGCAAGCCGUGCCUGAGCCGGUGUCUGCCGUGAGAUCUUCAGAGCACGGUUCCUGGGAAGGUAGAACCAUUAGCUUCUCCCUGAAUAACUGGGAGAUGAAACAGGAAGCUCUAUGACACACUUGAUCGAAAAUGACACAGACGUAGAAAAAUCAGGACUCCAGCACCUCUACCUGCUGUCGGCUGCUGGAAGGCAGGUGACAGCUUUGCCCUGGGACCUGAUUCUAGCUGCCGUGGACUCCAAGGGCCUCCGCAUUCGCUGAUGAUGUGUCUGCGAUAUUGAGGUCGUGGUCUAGUCUGGUCGGUUUCCUAUUUAUCUGGCGAGUCUCUAUGUGUCUUAAUCCCUUUUCCUCCAUUAAAAGCAAAACGAAAGAAAAA